GUAGGGAAUAUUGGGCAAUGGAGGCAACUCUGACCCAGCCAUGCCGCGUGCAGGAUGACGGCCCUCUGGGUUGUAAACUGCUUUUAUACGGGAAGAAAAAAUACUACGUGUAGUAUACUGACGGUACCGUAAGAAUAAGGAUCGGCUAAUUCCGUGCCAGCAGCCGCGGUAAUACGGAGGAUCCAAGCGUUGUCCGGAUUUAUUGGGUUUAAAGGGUGCGUAGGCGGAUCUUUAAGGCAGUGGUGAAAGCCUGCAGCUUAACUGUAGAAUUGCCAUUGAAACUGAAGAUCUUGAAUGUGGUGAAAGUAGGCGGAAUGUAUCAUGUAGCGGUGAAAUGCUUAGAUAUGAUACAGAACACCGAUAGCGAAGGCAGCUUGCUGAACCAUUAUUGACGCUGAGGCACGAAAGCGUGGGGAGCGAACAGGAUUAGAAACCCUGGUAGUCC
rnacentral:rRNA from 1 species